GAUGAACGCUGGCGGCGUGCUUAACACAUGCAAGUCGAACGGUGAACCCGGAGCUUGCUCUGUGGGAUCAGUGGCGAACGGGUGAGUAACACGUGGGCAACCUGCCCCUGACUCUGGGAUAAGCGCUGGAAACGGCGUCUAAUACUGGAUAUGUGACGUGACCGCAUGGUCUGCGUUUGGAAAGAUUUUUCGGUUGGGGAUGGGCUCGCGGCCUAUCAGCUUGUUGGUGAGGUAAUGGCUCACCAAGGCGUCGACGGGUAGCCGGCCUGAGAGGGUGACCGGCCACACUGGGACUGAGACACGGCCCAGACUCCUACGGGAGGCAGCAGUGGGGAAUAUUGCACAAUGGGCGCAAGCCUGAUGCAGCAACGCCGCGUGAGGGAUGACGGCCUUCGGGUUGUAAACCUCUUUUAGCAGGGAAGAAGCGAAAGUGACGGUACCUGCAGAAAAAGCGCCGGCUAACUACGUG
rnacentral:rRNA from 1 species